ensembl:misc_RNA 7SK 7SK RNA
GGAUGUGAGGGUGAUCUGGCUGUGACAUCUGUCACCCCAUUGAUUGCCAGGGUUGAUUUGGUUGACCUGGCUGGCUAGGCGGGUGUCCCUUUCCUCCCUCACCGCUCCAUGUGAGUCCCUCCCAAAGCUGCACGCUCAAAGAGAAUGACCAUCUCCAGUAGAGGAGGACUAGCCUUUGGUCAAGGGCAUACAAGUAGCUGCGCUCCCCUGCUAGAAUCUGCAAACUUAAUGGUACACCCAUGCACACAUGCUUAAAUUCAAACAGUCAAGGCCUACAUCUCCCACUUAAAUGGAAGCUCAGUGAGGGCAGGAGCUUCUUGUGUCCGAAGUGUUUUUGCACGU